rnacentral:lncRNA from 10 species
UCACAAGAUCACCAGUGAAUCUCUGCGGAACAAAAGAUUUCCUUCGCUUCUCGUCUCAGUGCAAGCCUUGACCACACACAUGUAAGCUUCGUUUCACUCAGCGGUUUCCAAGCUGACAAUGUCCCAGGCGAGGCCGGGUUUCAGCAGACGCAUCCCUGCAUCCUCCACCAGCACUGUUUGUUCUGAAAUCAUCUUGUUCAUGGGGAUUCUGGGGAAAACCUUACUCAGCCCCCUUUCUCCUCCCUGUGGUGUCAGCAUUCCCAUCCUGGCUGCAUAUUCAACUCACCUGGGGAGACUAAAAAACACCCCAAUACACAGGAUCUGCUGAAACACCCCAAUACACAGGAUCUACCCAAACACCCCAAUACACAGGACCCCCCAAAACACCCCAAUACACAGGACCCCCCAAAACACCCCAAUACACAGGACCCGCCCAAACACCCCAAUACACAGGACCCGCCGAAACACCCCAAUACACAGGACCCGCCGAAACACCCCAAUACACAGGACCCGCCGAAACACCCCAAUACACAGGACCCCUCAAAACACCCCAAUACACAGGACCCGCCCGAGCACCCCAAUACACAGGACCCGCCCGAGCACCCCAAUACACAGGACCCACCAAACACCCCAAUACACAGAACCCCCCGAAACACCCCAAUACACAGGAUCCCCCGAAACACCCCAAUACACAGGAUCCCCCGAAACACCCC